rnacentral:lncRNA from 1 species
AUCAUCCAAAAUAUUUAAUUUUAUAUUAUUAUCAUAAAAAAGAAUUCAUACAAGAUUUGAAUAUAGUCAAAAUUCAACAACUGCUCUAUCUAUACUAUUAUGCCUUACAAAAAUAUUAAACAUAUUAAAUAUGCAACUAGCUAGCCAUCUGGUACAAUUUUCUUGUGAAUUCACAAGUAUCUCCAGCUCAACGUACGACUCAUUUAAUCCACCACAAACCUGCCACAAAAUCAUACAAAGAGCCAACCAAGAAUCACAAUGUAGAGCAUCAUGAUACUCCAAUAGAAAAAAAUCAAUUAAUAAGUGAAAGAAUGAUUAGACCUCCACUAUUUUAGACUUCCACCCCGGUCCUUUGCUGGUUUAGACCUCCACUAGUUGCAAUAGCCAAGCAACGAUUAGACCUCCACUAUUUUAGACUUCCACCCCUGUAAUGACCUGCUCAAGAAAAGUGAGAACAAAAUGACAAACUUAAUGCUGAAACAUAAUAAACUUUAAUUAGAAAAACACUGAGUAGAUGAGGAUGAUAUAGCAAGUAAUUAAUAGAAAAAUG